UCGGACCCCCAAAGAGGUGACUUAGGAAAAAAUUAGGGAAAUCCCGGUGGACCAAAAACUUCGAAAAAGCGGUCCAGGAAAAAAUUAGGGAUAAAAAAAUAAAAAAUAAAAAGAGGUCAUUAAAUCCUCAAUAAAGGUAAUCCAGGUUUAGUGACCGCCAUAUCAGGAACCCAAAGGUCACUGGCAUCCAUGAAAAAUAAGGUGACUUCCAUUUCAAGUGAACCUCAA
rnacentral:lncRNA from 1 species